CCUUUGGAAGUGUGUACUGACAAAGAGCAUGCAAAAUUGUUCCUGCUUCAGGGACAGUUUAGGAAGAAAAUGAUACUGUGCCUGCCUGGACUUCACAAGCCCUGGGCUCAGGGACACAGGAAAGAGAUACCAGGUGUCAAGUCCACAGGGAGAGGCAGGAAGGCAGGCAAGAGGAGGGAGACAUGGCUGAUGCCAGGCCCAGCUUCCAGAUCCAGCUCUGGGGAGGCUGAUGAAUAGACCCUUUAUCUAAGCAGAAGGGUGGGGGCUGCAGAAAGGGGUCUCAGGUAACAGGAGUCUCAGAACAAGCUCAAAAGAUCUCAUCCUUUUCUUCACAGAAGAAAUUCUAGCUGGAGAGAAGCUUCUUAGAAGGUCCUUAUUUCUCAGCCAUUUUCCCAGGACCCUCAUUUGGGAGGUCCCUCCUCAAUCCCACAGACCUUGCUGGGUGACCUGGAGACAUCAUCAGAAGUGCAGAGUCCAUUAUGGUUAAAGGCACUGACUUUUGGCCUCCAAUUCCCAGCAAUUCCAGUGACUGGCUAGAUGCCCCAGGCAAGUCAUUUCACCUGACUCUCAGCUUCCUCCUAGCAGAGAAUAAUCAGAGUCACCUCACAGAUAAGCCUGGAGGACCAUAGAACAUUGCUCAGCAAAGGAAUAUAAUUUACCUGGCUGUCCUGUCCUCUUGGAAGCUGCUCCACACAAGAGCUUCUUUGUACAGAGAAGGCCCUUCAACAGCCUGGAACGCUAGGCAGCUCAUUACUACCCUCUCGUGGUCAGAACAGGUCAGCACCGGAUCUAGCUAAACAGCUUGCUCAGGACAUCCUGAAAGCCAAGGUCAACCCCAACAGGCUGACUUCUGGCCUACCCACCGCAGUCAGUGUGCUGCACACCAGCAUCAGUGGUUCAGCAUCCCACUCCCAAACAGGCCAUGACCCAGGCUUAGCCAGGCUGAGCCUAAUGAUUGCAAAUCUGGCCAAUGCUGUCUACUCCAAGCCAGAGGCUCCCAGAAGAUGCCCUUUUCCAACUGCCAAAGCAGAAUGAUGGAGAGCUCUCCGGUCCGCCAGAGAGCACUGAUGGUCAGGACUGGGCCUGGAGAUGGCAUAGAGCAGGGCUGCAGGAAGACAACUGCAAUCCUUCUAAUCACAAAACCCUUGCUCUCCUACACCUCUUUUUUUCCUUUCAAAAUAUUGCCCAAGGCAACUUGACAUGUACAAAUAAACAUACAAGGAUGUCUGCUGCAGAA